CAUCUUCCUCCAUCAUCCAAAUAGUUCCUGGCAGAAGCAAUCCAUCCUCUUUCAGGGAUUCGUCCUGGAUGGGCACCUCCCUGCCAGGAGCUGAGACUGAGGCUCUAAGACUUGAAGGGAUUUGCAGACAUGAGGUGAUUUGUAGGCAUGAGGAUAAAGGAGGGCUGUGACAGCCACUCAGGAACACAGGAGCACAUCCCUGUGCAGGUGAUGUUUGGGGAGACCCUUGA
rnacentral:lncRNA from 1 species